GUUUUGAAGCUUGAUAUGGAAGCUGCUACACAUCUUCCCCAUUACGACAAAAUGUUUGGGUUCUUCCUCCAUCUCAGAAUUUUCUCUUGAUGGUCUUUCCCCUUGAACUGGAGAACUGCAGGUUAUAUUAGUUAUCCUCCAAUCCACUGAAACUAUUAGCGGCUGUGGAAUCUUGACAGAUGUUCACCAGAGCAUUUAUUAUUUCUAGAGCAACUUCCUUCAGUACAUUGAGCAAAUGUAAGAAUGCCAAGCUUGAAACAAUCACAACAAUUUGUACUACAUGAGCAGAGGGAGCUGAUUGGUUGGCAAGCCAACUCUAAUUGGCUGAAGUGUCACCAAGGAAAAAGGAAGAGGAAUCCAUAGGCUCCCCAAUGCAUCCAAUUCUUCAAAACGAAGAGCAAGACUCGAACAUGUCCAUUUUGUUUGCUGAAAAGUAGAUCGCUACAUUUGGAGAUACGUCUCCUAAAGAUCAAAACUAAAUUACCCAAAUUAAGAUUGUGAUUGACCAUUGUGAAUUAGCCAGUAGUAUAACCUUUUUUUUUAUUCAGGCCAUGUAGUCUUUGUAGCUUGACCAGCAUUUAGCACCCAUUCCUAGUUGCCCUUGAGAGGUGACGGUGGGCUGUCUUCUGGAACUACUGACGGGCAUUUGGUUUAGGUAGCUGUGCAAUGCUAUUGUGACUCAGUGACACUAAAGGAAUAGUGAACAUUUGGAUUAUUAAGCAGUUACCGUACACUUGUGGAAUCAUCUCCAAUGGUGGACAAUUAGUUUUGGGUUUUCAAGCAUGAAAUUUUUGAAUGCAAUCUGUAGGCUGCCCAUUAUGAUCAGUCAGUGGAAAUGUUGUCAGAUCCCUGGGCAGAAUGCUGUGUUUUCUAUUAAUGUUCAUGAUCAAAGUGUUUUCAAGUAAGACCUAUAUAUUUUCUAAGUUUUUAAUGUUCUAAAUUCCAACUUAAAUUAUUCCAGCAGCAAGCUUUGAUGAAUGAUUUGUUAUCAUACAGACAAAAAGGAGAAAAACAAUAUGAUUACAAUGGUUCGAUGGCUUUUUGGAUGAUGUACCAAGUAGUAGCUGUUGUGAAACAAAAAUAGAAAUUACUGGAAAAGCUCAGCAGAUCUGGCAGAAUCUGUGGAGAGAAAUCAGGAUGCGGAGGUGUCAGUGUUGGACAGAGGUGGACAAAGCCACAAGUCUCAUGAUGCCAAGGUAUAAUCUAACAGGUUUAUUUGAAAUCAAAAGCUUUUGGUGGACUCCUCCUUCACCUGAUUAAGGAAAAGCACUCUGGAAGCUUGUGAUUUCAAUUAACCUGAUGGACUAUAACCUGGUGUCGAGUGACUUCUGACUUUAAGAGAAAUCAGAGUUACCAUUUCGGGUUGAGUGACCCUUCCUCAGAACUGAGGUAGCUCGGAAAAUGUCAGUUUAUAAGCAGAAGAUGGGGGAAGGGGAGGGGGUGAGAAGUAAAUGAUAGGUGUGGAUGGAGCCCAAAGAGAGAGAAGAGCAGUUGGACAGACAAAGGAAUGGUUAAUUAUCUGGCUAGGAUGGUGAAUAGCUAUAACGGAGAUUUUUUUUUCAGAGCAGCUUUUAACAUUACUUUUAAGGGCAGGCAUGAAUAUUGUCUCACUGGGGUGACCUUUUAUAAAAUCAAACUUCCUUUUCCAAAUAAGGUGGUGUGUUAGGCUGGUAAACACCCCAUGUUGUAUCUUUUCACAUUUUGUGUGCUUAAGAUGCCUUGUUUGUGAAGAAGAGCCAUAACAAAACAAUGAAAAUUUAAUGAAAUCAAUUUCAUAUUCAUCUAAUACCUAACAGCUAUGUUUUGAUAUUUUUAUGUUCAUUUGUAUAACAGAAGGAGGAGUCCAACUGUGAAGUUAAGUUCCUUUUGUUGAUGGUAUAUCCUUAAAAAUAGGAUGUGUGUAUUUCACAAUUGACUUUAGUUGUCCUGUUUGUAAUUAGAUGUUUGUUCAGUUUCAGGAGAUGAAUUUGCCAAAGUCACAUGAUAUGUCUUCAGACAUUUUAAAAGCUUUUGGAAAGGCAAAAUAUUACAGAUGAUGCAAAUCUGAAAUAAAAAGAGAAAAUGCUGGAGAAACACAGCAGGUGUGACAGCUUCUGCGAAGAGAAACAGAGUUAACGUUUUGAGUCUGAUAUGACUUUUCUUCAGAACUGUAGCCAUAUGUAAAGAUUACACGCCUUAAUGUGUUCCACCUCAUGCUUAAGUUCAUUUCUAAGAUGGGCCAAUCUGAUGAUCUUCUUUUCCACGAUAUGCUAGUUGAGAAUUUGUGAAUGUUUUCUCUGCUUCUGUUUACUACAAACCUAA